UCUUUCAAUAUAAUUCUGUAUCCAGCAGUAGCCUGUGCUGUCUAAUGGUAUGUGUAAUUCUCAGUUCAGAGAUAAAAUAAAACUGUUGAAUGCUGUCCCUAGCAAUAGUUUAGGAGGUGAUUCAGAGAGAAGAAUAACAUGUCCAUAAUAGGAAUGGUGUGGCUGUACCAUUUCCAACGUGCAGGGGGGAACUGUGCAAACUUUGUUUUAAAGUUGACAAUUGAAAAACGCAAGAAAGAAAACACAUUCUAUAAUAUACAAAAAAAUAAUAAUAUACAAUUUGGAAAUAAGUGAAUAUGAACAGUCGUUUGGUGUUUAUUGCAGGUUGCUUUUCUGUUUAAGUACAAAGGCCAUCGUAUCAGACUCCACUGUGUCCCCCUGGAUGACUGCAUGAAAUGGAACAACCCAGUAUGCCCUGAGACCAGGAUCCAUAUGCACAGUUACUAGCAGAGAACUAUGAAAGAACAGUUAAUUCAUGUAAAGAUUUCGAUGGCAUUUGACUGGUAAACAAUGUAAUCAAGAGGGGAGAUUAUCCAAUCAAGGAUUGUCAGAAACACAUGGCAAGCAACUUGCAAUUUGUUUUUUGAGGCGCACCAUGGCAGCUCGCUCAAGCUACAAUGAAGAGAGGAACCUCCUUCGCAUCCGAGAGCGGGAGCGGCGGAAUCAGGGAACCUUCCAGGAGAAGGAGUUCUACCAGGAGACCGUUCCCCUGUUUGGGGAACCCUAUAAGGUCAGACUACUUCCUGUUUUUUUCCCCCCCCUUUUCUCUAGGCCCUUAUUAGGACUGCAGGAGGACAUACUAACAACUACAAACAUGCGACGUAUUCCCAAAAUGCAGGUUAUUUCAUGAUGCUAUUCAUUAUUCCAUUCUAUUUGAAAUAAGAGAAUUAGAGGCCAGAGGAAGUGUUUUGCUUGAUGACAUCAUGACCAAUGCAUUUGCAUGUUGAUAAUGUAACAGUUUGUUUUGUAACACAGUCCACCUGUCAGUGUGUUGCUGUUAAGAGAUGAGCUGUUGUGAACCCGACUCCAACCUUUUUUAUUAGAAACUCUUCAGAACAUCUCGUUGAUGUAUUUAGGCGUUGCUCUGGACAUGAUGACCUGCGUUCAUACUAGAGGUCGACCGAUUAAUCAGACUUUAAAAAAAAAUAAAAUGAUAAUGACAAUUACAACAAUACUGAAUGAACACUUAUUUUAACUUAAUAUAAUACGUCAAUAAAAUCAAUUUAGCCUCAAAUAAAUAAUGAAACAUGUUCAAUUUGGUUUAAAUAAUGCAAAAACAAAGUGUUGGAGAAGAAAGUAAAAGUGCAAUAUGUGCCAUGUAAAAAAGCUAACGUUUAAGUUCCUUGCUCAGAACAUGAGAACAUAUGAAAGCUGGUGGUUCCUUUUAACAUGAGUCUUCAAUAUUCCCAGGUAAGAAGUUUUAGGUUGUAGUUAUUAUAGGACUAUUUCUCUCUAUACGAUUUGUAUUUCAUAUACCUUUGACUAUUGGAUGUUCUUAUAGGCACUUUAGUAUUGCCAGUGUAACAGUAUAGCUUCCGUCCCUUUCCUCGCCCCUACCUGGGCUCGAACCAGGAACACAUCGACAACAGCCACCCUCGAAGGAUCGUUACCCAUCGCUCCACAAAAGCCGCAGCCCUUGCAGAGCAAGGGGAACAACUAAUCCAAGUCUCAGAGCGAGUGACGUUUGAAACGCUAUUAGCGCGGACCCCGCUAACUAGCUAGCCAUUCACAUCGGUUACACCAGCCUAAUCUCGGGAGUUGAUAGGCUUGAAGUCAUAAACGGCUCAAUGCUUGAAGCACAGCGAAGAGCUGCUGGCAAACGCACAAAAGUGCUGUUUGAAUGAAUGCUUACGAGCCUGCUGUUGCCUACCAUCGCUCAGACUACUAUAUCAAAUCGUAGACUUCAUUAUAACAUAACACACAGAAAUACAAGCCUUUGGUCAUUAAUAUGGUCGAAUCCGGAAACUAUCAUCUCGAAAACAAAACGUUUUCUUUCAGUGAAAUACGGAACCGAUCCGUAUUUUAUCUAACGGGUGGCAUCCCUAAGUCUAAAUAUUGCUGUUACAUUGUACAACCUUCAAUGUUAUGUCAUAAUUAUGUACAAUUCUGGCUAAUUAAUUACGGUCUUUGUUAGGAAUAAAUGCACUUCACACAGUUUGCAACGAGCCAGGCGGCCCAAACUGCUGCAUAUACCCUGACUGCUUGCACGGAACGCAAGAGAAGUGACCCAAUUUCCCUAGUUUUAAGAAAUUCAUGUUAGCAGGCAAUAUUAACUAAAUAUGCAGGUUUAAAAAUAUAUACUUGUCUAUUGAUUUUAAAGAAAGGCAUUGAUGUUUAUGGUUAGGUACACAUUGGUGCAAUGAGUGCUUUUUUUCGCGAAUGCACUUGUUAAAUCAUCACACGUUUGGCGAAGUAGGCUGUGAUUCGAUGAGAAAUUAACAGGCACCGCAUCGAUUAUAUGAAACGCAGGACACGAUAAACUAGUAAUAUCAUCAACCAUGUGUAGUUAACUAGUGAUUAUGUUUGUUUUUUAUAAGAUAAGUUUAAUGCUAGCUAGCAACUUACCUUGGCUUCUUGCUGCCCUCGCGUAACAGGUAGUCAGCCUGCCACGCAGGCUCCUCGUGGAGUGCAAUGUAAGACAGGUGGUUAGAGCGUUGGACUAGUAACCGGAAGGUUGCAAAAACGAAUCCCCGAGCUGACAAGGUAAAAAGCUGUCGUUCUGCCCCUGAACAAGGCAGUUAACCCACCGUUCCUAGGCCGUCAUUGAAAAUAAGAAUGUGUUCUUAACUGACUUGCCUAGUUUGAAUAAAGGUGUUCAAACAUUUUUUUAAAUUCGGCCACAAUCGGUGUCCAAAAAUACAGGUUACCGAUUUGUUAUGAGAACUUGAAAUCGGCCCUAAUUAGUCGGUCGACCUCUAGUUCAUACCGUGACCCCCCCUCUGUGGCCUAGGUCUAGUUACCACGGAAGUCAAAUAAAAUUGAAAAAAAAAAUGGAUUUGUCAUAUGCUUCCUAAACAACAGGUGUAGACUAAUCGUUAAAUGCAUAAUUACGGGCCCUUCCCAACAAUGCAGCGAGAACACACAAGGAAUAAAUACACAAUGAGUAACGUGGUACCAGUACAGAGUCGAUGUGCAGGGGUAUGGGGUAAUUGACGUAGAGAUGUAUGUAUAGGUAGGGCUAAAGUGACUAGGCAACAGCAUGGAUAAUAAAGAGUUAGUGACAAAAGGGUCAAUGCUGAUUGUCCAGGUAGCUAUUUGGUUAGCUAUUUAGAAAUCUUAUGACUUGGGGGUAGACGCUGUUCAGGGUCCUGUUGGGUCCAGACUUGAUGCAUCGGUACUGCUUGCCGUGCGGUAGCAGAAACAACAGUCUAUGAUGUGGGUGGCUGGAGUGUUUGACAAUUUGUAGGGCCUUCCUCUGACACCACUUGGUCCUCAUUGGCUGGGAGCUUAGCCCCUGCGAUGUACUGGGCCGUGCACACAACCCUCUGUAGCGGUUUGAUGCCAAGCAGUUGCCAUACCAAGCGGUGACGCAGCCAGUCAAGAUGCUCUCAUUGAUGCAGCUGUAGUAAAGGCUAGCUCCAGGCUUAAGGGCGUUUUUUGAUAUUCUCUUAUGUAACUGUCUCAGCCUAGUGCAGGGAUGGGCAACUCCAGUUCUCUGGGGCCUGAUUGGUAUCACACUUUUGCCACAGCUAACACACCUGACUCCAAUCGUGACCUUCAGUUUAGAAUGCAAUUAGUUUAAUCAGCUGUGUUGACUAGGGAUGUGGACAGUGUGUGACACCCCUCCAGCCCUGGAGGACUGGAGCUACCCGUCCCUGAUGUAGGGAAUAGGCCUAGUGCCCUGGCUUUGAGUCAUUCUUAGGGAGGUCUGAAAUGAGUAGGGGGCAGGGCCUAUAUACAUGCAUUUGGAAAGUAUUCAGACCCCUUGACUUUUUCCAGAUUUGGUUACAUUACAGCUUUUAUUCUAAAAUUGAUUAAAUGUUUUUCUUCAAUCUACACACAAUACCCCAUAAUGAUGAUGCGAAAACAGGAUUACCGGAUACCUUAUUUACGUAUUCAGACCUUUUGCUUUGAGACUCCAAAUUGAUUCAGGUGCAUUCUGUUUCCAUUGAUUAUGCUUGAUGUUUCUACUACCUGAUUGGAGUCCACUUUUUGGUAAAAUUUCAAAUUGACUGGACAUGAUUUUGGAAAGGCACACCUGUCUAUACAAGGUCCCACAGUUGAAAGGUACCAAAAACGUUCUGCAGCAUUGAAGGUCCCCAAGAACACAGUGGCCUCCAACAUUCUUAAAUGAAAGAUGUUUUAGAACCACCAAGACUCUUCCCAGAGCUGGCCACCAGACCAAACUGAGCAAUCGGGGGAGAAGGGCCUUGGUCAGGGAGGGGACCAUGAACCUGAUGGUCACUCUGGCAGAGUGACCAUAGUUCCUCUACGGAGAUGGUCAUCUUUCUGGAAGGUUCUCCCAUCUCUGCAGUACUCCACCAAUCAGGCCUUUAUGGUAGAGUGGCCAGAUGGAAUCCACUCCUCAGUAAAAUACACAUGACAGCCCACUUGGAGUUUGCCAAAAGCCACCUAAAGGACAUUCAGACCAUGAUAAACAAUAUUCUCUGGUCUGAUAAAACCAAGAUUGAACUCUUUGGUCUGAAUGCCAAGCAUCAUGUUUAGAGGAAACCUGGCACCAUCCCUACGGUGAAGUGUAGCAGUAUCAUGCUGUGGGGAUGUUGGAGACUAGUCAGGAUCGAGGGAAAGAUGAACAGAGAAAAGUACAGAUCCUUAAUGAUAACCUGCUCCAGACCUUAGACUGGGGCGAAGGUCCACUUCCAAUGAAACAAUGACCCUAAGCACACAGCCAAGACAACGCAGGAGUCUCCUUGAGUGUCCCAGCCAGAGCCUGGACUUGAACCCGAUCGAACAUCUGAGGCGAGCUGAUAAUAGCUGUGCAGCGACGCUCCCCAUCCAACCUGACAGAGCUUGAGAGGAUCUACAGAGAAGAAUGGUAGAAACUCCGCAAAUACAGGUGUGCCAAGCUGGUAGCGUCAUACCCAAGAAUACUCUAGGCUGUAAUUACUGCUAAGGGUGCUUCAACGUACUGAAUACCUAUGUAAUAUUUCACUUUAUUUUGAAUACAUUUACACAUUUCUAAACCUGUUUUUGCUUUGUCAAUAUUGGGUAUUGUGUGUAGAUUGAGGGGGGGGGACUAAUUUAAUACAUUUUAGAAUAAGGUGGUAACGUAAGAAAAUGUUAAGUCAAGGGGUCUGAACUUUAUGAAUGCACUGUGUAUACAAAAGUAUAUGGAUACGAAUGCACUGUGUAUAUGGAAACGAAUGCACUGUGUAUAUACAAAAGUAUAUGGAUACCCCUUCAAAUUAGUGGAUUCGGCUGACAUCACUCGCUACCGAGUUCCAAACUGCCUCUGGAAGCAACAUCGGCACAAGAACUGUUCAUCGGGAGCUUCAUGAAAUGGGUUUCCAUGGCCGAGCAACAGCACACAAGACUAAGAUCACCAUGCGCGAUGCCAAGCGCAGGCUGGAAGGGUGUAAAGUUUGCCACCAUUGGACUCUGGAGUAGAGGAAAUGUGUUCUCUGGAGUGAUGAAUCAAGCUUCACCAUUUGGGAAUCUGGGUUUGGAGGAUGCCAGGAGAACACUUCCUGCCACAAUUCAUUGUGCCAACUAUAGUUUUGUGGAGGAGGAAUAAUGGUCUGGGGCUGUAUUUCAUGGUUUGGACCCUUAGUUCCAGUGAAGUUACAUCUUAAUGCUAC
rnacentral:lncRNA from 8 species